GCUCACUUUGGCCGCUCAUAUACUUAAAUUGGAAUGACAGAGAAGAUUAGCAUGGCUUCUGUGCAAGGAUUACAAGCAAUUUCACGAAGCAUUCAAUAUAUAU
rnacentral:snRNA from 1 species